AACGUUUCUCCCAAUCAUAGUUGUCAUUUUUGGAUAAGUAGCUCAGAGCCCUUCAACAAGAACUCUCACAGUCUUUUAGGCCACGACAGCAGAUCCGGACCGAUCAGCACUAGUGAGGGCUCAUGACGCAGGUCCGGACCGAUCAGCACUACUGAGGGCUCAUGACGCAGGUCCGGACCGAUCAGCACUACUGAGGGCUCAUGACGCAGGUCCGGAUCGAUCAGCACUACUGAGGGCUCAUGACGCAGGUCCGGACCGAUCAGCACUACUGAGGGCUCAUGAUGCAGGUCCGGAUCGAUCAGCACUACUGAGGGCUCAUGACGCAGGUCCGGAUCGAUCAGCACUACUGAGGGCUCAUGACACAGGUCCGGAUCGAUCAGCACUACUGAGGGCUCAUGACGCAGGUCCGGACCGAUCAGCACUACUGAGGGCUCACGACGCAGGUCCGGACCGAUCAGCACUACUGAGGGCUCAUGACGCAGGUCCGGACCGAUCAGCACUACUGAGGGCUCAUGAUGCAGGUCCGGAUCGAUCAGCACUAGUGAGGGCUCAUGACGCAGGUCCGGACCGAUCAGCACUACUGAGGGCUCACGACGCAGGUCCGGACCGAUCAGCACUACUGAGGGCUCACGACGCAGGUCCGGACCGAUCAGCACUACUGAGGGCUCAUGACGCAGGUCCGGACCGAUCAGCACUACUGAGGGCUCAUGACGCAGGUCCGGACCGAUCAGCACUACUGAGGGCUCAUGACGCAGGUCCGGACCGAUCAGCACUACUGAGGGCUCAUGACGCAGGUCCGGACCGAUCAGCACUACUGAGGGCUCAUGAUGCUGCUGUAAGUCACCGGCUUCGGCUCAGGGCAGCAGCAGAUGGUUGAGACUG